rnacentral:rRNA from 1 species
CCCUUAGAUGUUCUGGGCCGCACGCGUGCUACACUGAACGGUUCAAUGGGUAAGGUAGUGCGAAAGCAUGACCUAAUCUCGAAAUCCGUUCGUGCUGGGGAUAGAAGCUUGCAAUUACCCUUCUUGAACGAGGAAUACCUUGUAAGCGUGAGUCAUCAUCUCACGCUGAAUACGUCCCUGCCCUUUGUACACACCGCCCGUCGCUCCUACCGAUUGAGUGUUCCGGCGAGGCUUUGGGAGAAUGGCCUCAACAUGAGUUUAUCGUGUUUUGCCGUUUGAACUUAGUCAAACCUUAUCACUUAGAGGAAGGAGAAGUCGUAACA